UCAGACGAUGCGUCAUGCAUAUCAAUAAGCGGAGGAAAAGAAACUAACAAGGAUUCCCUUAGUAACGGCGAGUGAAGCGGGAAGAGCUCAAAUUUGAAAUCUUCAAGGGUUUACCUUUACGAAUUGUAGUUUAAAGAAGUGUUUUCUGUUGAAGUUUUGGUAAAAGUUCUUUGGAAUAGGACAUCAUAGAGGGUGAGGAUCCCGUAUUUGACCAUUAUUUUCAGCUGUGUGAUACACUUUCAAAGAGUCGGAUUGUUUGGGAACGCAGUCCAAAAUGGGUGGUAAAUUUCAUCUAAAGCUAAAUAUUGGCGAGAGACCGAUAGCGAACAAGUACCGUGAGGGAAAGAUGAAAAGAACUUUGAAAGAGAGUUAAACAGUACGUGAAAUUGUCAAAAGGGAAGCGUUUGACACCAGUGUUGUUUUCUCGAAAAUCAAUUAAAAAGAGUUAGAUUUUGUUGUGUAUUGACCUUAACAGCUUGCAUUUCAAUUUUCUUGCUUUUUUUAAUGCACUUUUCGUUUAACAAGUCAACAUCAGUUUCUUUUGUUGUAAAAAGGUCAUUGAAAGGUGGCUUUCUUUUCGGAGAAAGUGUUUAUAGCCUUUGACUCCUGCAAUCGGAGAGACUGAGGUCUGCAGCGUAGAUCCUUCGGGGUUAGAUACAUUUGUGCUAAGUUAUAGCUUUUUAUAGACAACUUGUUGACUAUGAUUAGUCUUGUAGCUUACUCGCUUAUGCUAUUUUACCUACGCUUAGGAUGUUGAGUCGUAGAGCACGCAG
rnacentral:rRNA from 1 species